AAUCUGUUGCAGUUAAAAAGCUCGUGGUUGGACCUUAGGUAGGGUUGACUGGUCCGCCUCAUGGUGUGCACCAAUUGGCUCGUCCCUUCUACCGACAAUAUGCUCCUAGCCUUAACUAGCCGAGUUGUGCCUCCGAUACUGUUACUUUGAAGAAAUUAGAGUGCUCAAAGCAAGCCUAUGCUUUGUAUACAUUAGCAUGGGAUAACAUCAUAGAAUUCCAGUCCUAUUGUGUUGGCCUUCGGGAUCGGAGUAAUGAUUAACAGGGACAGUCGGAGGUAUUUGUAUUUCAUAGUCAGAAGUGAAAUUUUUGGAUUUAUGAAAGACGAACAAUUGUGAAAGAAAGUAAGGGUUUGGCCAUUUCGGAAUUCGCCUG
rnacentral:ncRNA from 1 species